UGAUUUCUGUGCAGCUAUGGCUGCCUAUUCAUAUCUCAGCUGAACUGGUUUGUUUAGGUCAAGUGCUCUGCUUAUUAGUCUUGGAAAUCUUGAUUCUAACAAUGAAACGAAAAUAGUCCUGUGAGAACACCCUGUGCACCUGUGCCAAGGAACAACAGGGAUUAGGGAGCAGUAAACAAAGUGUUUCCCUACAGGCGGCACAUCUGAGCUCAGAGAUCGUACAUGAAGGCUUAGCUACUGGAACAGAGGAGAAAUAACUUCAACACACAAAGAUUGAGUGACUUAAUUGCUAGGGCGUCUGAUGAUAAAGAACCCAAACCAAAGCUUCUCUCCAGCCCCUCCCCUCAGGUAGCUUGAUUAUCUAACACACACAAACACACACACACGCACACUCUCUCUCUCUCUCUCUCUCACACACACACACAUACGCACACUCACUCACUCACAAUAAUGAACAGACAUGAUACUUCCACAAACACCGACUUAGCAUGGAAGACACUCACCAGGUCAUUCAAGGGGCACCAAGGUGGAAAAUGUUCCCAUCCUCAAGAAACUCAGCCAAUGUUUCCUUUGGGAAAUGGCUUCGUUCCGCCUGUGGACUCACACUGUGGCGUGUCUGCAAACACUGCUGUGGUUUCUGUGGAGCUGUGUGUAUUAGGUCCGACUUCGCUGUUUGCUGGAAUGAGGAGCAGAGACCCCAAACGCACAGGAAGAACAGGCUGGCAUCGCCUCGGCCUGCCUCGUGCUGGAGAAGAGACCACACAGACUUGGCCUGGGUUCAGCAAAUCGCAACUCUUUAAGAUGGAAUAGCUUAGAGUUUAAGACAUAUCAAAAGUGUAAACAUAGUUGCUGACCUGAGUAGUUUUUAUGGGGGGAGGUAAUCCUUUGAGAGAAUUCAUCUAUCUAUACCUUAUGAUUUGUGCAAUUUUCUAUAUGAAUGUUAUGUAUCAAUAAAACAUUUGAAAAUGAAAAGGCAAGGAGCUGUCCAUUCUUUUGGUAAUUCGGGAGAUAGAGGUACAUCCUCAUUCCCUCUCCUCUCACAUUGCGUGAGCAUAGCCUCCC
rnacentral:lncRNA from 1 species